UACAGAAGGUGCAAGCGUUGUUCGGAAUUAUUGGGCGUAAAGCGCGUGUAGGCGGUGAUGCAUGUCGGGUGUGAAAGCCCCCAGCUCAACUGGGGAAGUGCGCCCGAAACUGCAUCGCUAGAGUGUCGGAGAGGGUGGCGGAAUUCCCGGUGUAGAGGUGAAAUUCGUAGAUAUCGGGAGGAACACCAGCGGCGAAGGCGGCCACCUGGACGAACACUGACGCUGAGACGCGAAAGCGUGGGUAGCAAACAGG
rnacentral:rRNA from 1 species